UACGUAGGGGGCAAGCGUUGUCCGGAAUCAUUGGGCGUAAAGAGCGUGUAGGCGGCCAGAAAAGUCCGCUGUGAAAACUCGAGGCUCAACUUCGAGCUGUCGGUGGAAACUUUCUGGCUAGAGUCCGGAAGAGGAGAAUGGAAUUCCUGGUGUAGCGGUGAAAUGCGCAGAUAUCAGGAAGAACACCCGUGGCGAAGGCGGUUCUCUGGGACGGUACUGACGCUGGAGACGCGAAAGCGUGGGGAGCGAACAGG
rnacentral:rRNA from 1 species